CAGCUAAAGUAGCAUAGUGUAGAUGAGUUAAUUUUAUUUAUUUAUUUUUUAUUUUUCUUAUGAACUUUCUCAAAACACCUUUUUGUUGAAUUGACCUGUCAGUUAUCGCUUUUGCACUGCUGCAGCCUAUUUCUGUUUAAACUGCGUUUAUUUUUGGUUCCUACUGUAAAUAUUGUUCUGGGAGGACGGUUAUUAGUGUUGCACAAAGUAAGGUACUGUAACGUAGAUGCAGCAGCCAGGCAAAAGCUGCCUAACUGAGCUGCUGGUAAGAUGUGUGCUAAUGCUACCUCUCACUCUCAGUAAUGUUUAUAACGUUACAAAUAGUUCUCACAGUUUUUGUGCCGCAUAAAAAUAUAAUGUUAAGUGUCUUUAAGUGUUUUAAAAACUUUGGGUUUGGUUAAAAUUAAACUGUUACUCUUAUAAAGUUUGUCUGAAGUUUUCCCUCCAAAAUGUGUUUGUUGGGCCGCAGGUAUCUGACUGUGACUGUGUGUACCAUACCCGGUGAUUGAGUGUGUCCCACACUGUGUCUUAUAGGGAGAAGCUGCCUAACUGAGCUGCUGGGAUCUGACUGUGACUGUGUGUACCAUACCCGGUGGUUGAGUGUGUCCCACACUGUCUUAUAGGAAUAAACUGACACAGAUUCUGA